AGAGUUUGAUCAUGGCUCAGGACGAACGCUGGCGGCGUGCUUAACACAUGCAAGUGGAGCGACGAACCGGGCUUCGGCCCGGGGCAAAGCCGCGAACGGGUGAGUAACACGUGGGUAACCUGCCCCGAUAACCGGGACAACCCGAGGAAACUCGGGCUAAUACCGGAUGUGCUCUCUUCACAUCAGUGAUUUGAGUAAAGGUAGCUUCGGCCUCCGUAUCGGGAUGGGCCCGCGGCCCAUUAGCUUGUUGGUGAGGUAAAGGCUCACCAAGGCCGCGAUGGGUAGCUGGUCUGAGAGGACGAUCAGCCACACUGGGACUGAGACACGGCCCAGACUCCUACGGGAGGCAGCAGUGGGGAAUCUUGCGCAAUGCGCGAAAGCGUGACGCAGCAACGCCGCGUGGGUGAAGAAGGCCUUCGGGUUGUAAAGCCCUUUCAGGAGGGACGAAGCUUCGGUCGUUAAUAGCGGUCCGGAGUGACGGUACCUUCACAAGAAGCCCCGGCUAACUACGUGCCAGCAGCCGCGGUAAUACGUAGGGGGCAAGCGUUGUCCGGAAUCAUUGGGCGUAAAGAGCGCGUAGGCGGUCCGGUAAGUCCGCUCUGAAAGUCCGGGGCUCAACCCCGGGAGGCGGGCGGAUACUGCCGGGCUAGAGUCCGGAAGAGGCGAGUGGAAUUCCUGGUGUAGCGGUGAAAUGCGCAGAUAUCAGGAGGAACACCGAUGGCGAAGGCAGCUCGCUGGGACGGUACUGACGCUGAGGCGCGAAAGCGUGGGGAGCAAACAGGAUUAGAUACCCCCGUAGUCC
rnacentral:rRNA from 1 species